rnacentral:rRNA from 1 species
GACGAACGCUGGCGGCGUGCCUAAUACAUGCAAGUUGAGCGCUGAAGGUUGGUACUUGUACCAACUGGAUGAGCAGCGAACGGGUGAGUAACGCGUGGGGAAUCUGCCUUUGAGCGGGGGACAACAUUUGGAAACGAAUGCUAAUACCGCAUAAAAACUUUAAACACAAGUUUUAAGUUUGAAAGAUGCAAUUGCAUCACUCAAAGAUGAUCCCGCGUUGUAUUAGCUAGUUGGUGAGGUAAAGGCUCACCAAGGCGAUGAUACAUAGCCGACCUGAGAGGGUGAUCGGCCACAUUGGGCCUGAGACACGGCCCAAACCCCUACGGGAGGCAGCAGUAGGGAAUCUUCGGCAAUGGACGAAAGUCUGACCGGGCAACGCCGCGUGAGUGAAGAAGGUUUUCGGAUCGUAAAACUCUGUUGGUAGAGAAGAACGUUGGUGAGAGUGGAAAGCUCAUCAAGUGACGGUAACUACCCAGAAAGGGACGGCUAACUACGUG